CCUACGGGAGGCAGCAGUGAGGAAUAUUGGUCAAUGGACGCAAGUCUGAACCAGCCAUGCAGCGUGCAGGAAGACGGCUCUAUGAGUUGUAAACUGCUUUUGUACGAGGGUAAACGCAGAUACGCGUAUCUGUUUGAAAGUAUCUUACGAAUAAGGAUCGGCUAACUCCGUGCCAGCAGCCGCGGUAAUACGGAGGAUUCAAGCGUUAUUCGGAUUUAUUGGGUUUAAAGGGUGCGUAGGUGGUUGGAUAAGUUAGUGGUGAAAGACUGAGGCUCAACUUCGGAAUUGCCUCUGAUACUGUCCGGCUAGAGAGUAGUUGCGGUAGGCGGAAUGUAUGGUGUAGCGGUGAAAUGCUUAGAGAUCAUACAGAACACCGAUUGCGAAGGCAGCUUACCAAGCUACUUCUGACGUUGAGGCACGAAAGCGUGGGGAGCAAACAGGAUUAGAUACCCUAGUAGUC
rnacentral:rRNA from 1 species